UACGUAGGGGGCAAGCGUUAUCCGGAUUUACUGGGUGUAAAGGGAGCGUAGACGGCGAUGCAAGCCAGAUGUGAAAGCCCGGGGCUCAACCCCGGGACUGCAUUUGGAACUGUAUAGCUAGAGUGUCGGAGAGGCAGGCGGAAUUCCUAGUGUAGCGGUGAAAUGCGUAGAUAUUAGGAGGAACACCAGUGGCGAAGGCGGCCUGCUGGACGAUGACUGACGUUGAGGCUCGGAAGCGUGGGGAGCAAACAGG
rnacentral:rRNA from 1 species